GAGUGAAGAGGGAAGAGCUCAUCAUUGGAAUCUGGCAGUGUUUCACUGUCCGAGUUGUAGAUGAGGAGUAGUCCGUCUGGACUGCAUGGCGUCCAAGUACAAUAGGCCGUCAGUGGGACAUCAUAGAGGGUGACAAUCCCGUCCUUGACGCCAAUGUGCAAGUCUAUUACGAUGGCUAUCUCAGAGAGUCGAGCAGUUUGGGAUUUGCUGCUUAAACAUGGGAGGUAGAUUCCUUCUAAAGCUAAAUACAGGCGAGAGACCGAUAGAGAACAAGUACCGCAAGGGAAAGAUGAAAUAGCACUCUGUGAAGGGAGUCAAAAGGCGUGAAAUUGUUGCGAGAGAAGCGAUUCAAGUCAGCGUAGCUAGGCCCAUCAAGCGUCUUCGCUUUGGACUAGCUUUGCCAGCGGUCUUGUCCCUUAAAGAGACUUGACUUGUAAUAUGUCCAGCCUGGCGUGCACAGGCAGCCCCUUCUGGGGGCCAGUGACAUGGCUGGUGGAAUGGCUUGCAAUCGACCCGUCUUGAAACACGGACCAAGGAGUCUAACAUGUAUGCGAGUAUAAGGGUGGCAAACCCGUAUGCGCAAUGAAAGUGAUUUUCGGUGAUUGAGAAUGGCCUGAUGACCAGACAAGCAAUAUAUGUCCCUCGUACGGCCAUUGCCCAAGUUCCGUGGUAGAUCCCACGAACAUGGAGUUGGAGCAUACAUGCUAGGACCCGAAAGAUGGUGAACUAUGCCUGGACAAAGCGAAGCCAAAGGAAACUCUGGUGGAGGCUUGUAGCGAUUCUGACGUGCAAAUCGAUCGUCUGAUCUGGGUAUAGGGGCGAAAGACUA
rnacentral:rRNA from 1 species